AACGUAGGAGGCGAGCGUUAUCCGGAUUUACUGGGCGUAAAGCGCGUGCAGGCGGUUUGGUAAGUUGGAUGUGAAAGCUCCUGGCUUAACUGGGAGAGGUCGUUCAAUACUACCAGACUUGAGUGUGGGAGAGGGAGGUGGAAUUCCGGGUGUAGUGGUGAAAUGCGUAGAUAUCCGGAGGAACACCAGUGGCGAAAGCGGCCUCCUGGCCCAAUACUGACGCUCAGACGCGAAAGAUAGGGGAGCGAACGGG
rnacentral:rRNA from 1 species